UUGAACAAAAUGUUCUUGGAGAAGCAGCUGUGCAGUGCAAUCCAGUCGGCCACAACUGCGAGCUCUUGGAAGUGGAAUAGCGAGCCAAAUGGAGAGCUGAGCCAAUUCAAAGUGGUUCUGUGCGGUGCAGAAACAUCAUUUGACACGCUGUGAUUGUGACCAUUGCGCUUCACGGCAGAAGUGAGGAUUUGUGGAUACAGAAGGGCAAUUUGUUCCCAAUCCCGAUUCAUCCAAAUUAAUGCUGUACAUAUGUUGGCAGCCAGGCAGGCCUACGCUGAAGGACGGAGUGGCGAUGAAAAAGGCAACCAGAAGCCGCGGCGCUUUUGCGGCAGCUUAGGCUGAUAGCCAAUCGGAUUUGGUCUUGUCCACCUCGUGAAAGCAUCGUGCAAAUGACUUCAUCCAAUGGUCCAAUUGGAUUUGAUUAGUACAAACAACAAAGCUCGCCAUAUACAAAUGCUCUCUGUGGCGUUCACAAGCCCAGAGCUUUAAUAAAACGGGGCUCCACCACAUUUACGUGUUCAGUCACGCAAUGAUCAUCGCUAAUGUUUGAUUAUACUCAAAAGACCAACAAGGCGUGCAGAGUCUGGUAAUCGUCUCCAAACCCAAUGUCUACUAUCAGAGAGCAUGACUCACAAACAUCAGGACGAUUGGAUGAAGAAAAAGAAAAAUGCUAGUCUGAGUCGAUAAUCCUCUGACGCAACAUUUGAAGGAUAAAUCUAUUAUUAUGAACAUUUAUUUUACGAGAUCAUUUGCGAAUGUUUUGAUUCGCGUUAUGCCUCGCUUGUGUAAAAUAGACAUCAAAUAUUGACCGGCUCGUUAUGGAGGAAACUCGUCUUAAGACAUUACUUCUUGAAGUAAAUUCACGAUUCAGGCCUUCAUUCCCAAAGAAUUUUUGUUCUUGCUCAAGAUGAUAGGUAGAUUUUGACUUUCUGCUUUGCCACAUCCGACCAAGACAUUUGACCAAUUGCAUAGUUUGCGAGAACUCUUUUCUGCAGAAAUUGCAAGAGCCCUCAGAUCCAAGACCAGAGACAACAGAUCACAUUCCCCCAGGAUGAUGGAAAAUGAAGACCAAGUCCUGUUAUUAUGUCCAAGGGUCCCAAUAGCUUUCAUCAUGUAGAGUAGGUGUUUUAUAAGAAACCAAUAAAAUGCCUCUUGAAAGCCAAACAAAGAAGCACUUUCAAUUUGUCAAGCCGAGUCAAAUGGGUUUUAUGGAAAGGUGAAUUAGCAAGACCUUUGUGGGAAUUCUUGCCAUAUCCUGUGCCUAUGCCUCCUGAGUGCCUCCAUGCUGUCAACAUAUUUCCCAUCCGCAAUUCUGCCAUCGUUUUCACCGAAGCAAUUAUCCUAGUGCCUACGCUCUGUGGGUCUAUCAGUCUGUGGUCCAUUAAAUGUCACGCCAUGGCUUCUCAUCUUCACUGUCACAAUGUGCGACGAUUCCGCCCACCUGCUUCAUCAUCGGUCCCGCUCAGUCUGCUUGGGUAUUCAAACUCAGCCGACCCAAAAGCACCUGUGAUUCCAGAUGUUCCCGGCAAGUUGAUUCCAAGACUGUCCAAUGACGCUACUUUGGAUUUACUGAUCAGAGGGCUUCCACAUCUCUCUCAAAUCGAGUUCUAAACGUUCCAUCUCACUAACCAUAAUCCCAAACACUAAAACCAACUCCCAACCCUAAAAACAAGUCCUAAUCCUAAAGUGGGAUCUUUUUCAUUCCGUGCAGCCACCACGCAAAAUAAGUUGGACUAAACUGCAGAGAGCAGUUGGCAUGGAGGAACAUGUUGCAUUCAUGUACUCUCCACAGAACGGCAAAAUCGUCUUCAAAAGCACAACAUGCUCUUAACGAUCUGUGCUUGGCAAGGCAACAUUUGUAGAUGUUCUUCCGGGUCUUAGGGGGAUGAUGUCCAAUUCUUUACACUUCCAUGGCUCCAAUUUUUGCUCUCUAAUGGAGGAGGAGAAUAUGUUCCAGUACUAAGUAGCGAAGAAAUAUGGAGCUUCUGUUCGCCCCGUAACAUUUCAUGGCUUUAGAGUCACAUUAAAGUAAAAAAUAUUAAUAGAUGGAGGCUCUUGAUUUAGAAAGCGGUAUGCUCUGAAUAAAUUACAAAAUCCUUUUUCCUCAGGUUUACAUAAUGUCAUAAUUAUGUGAAUGAAAGGGAGUACAAGAGGUUGGUUUGAUUUUCGCUGGACGAAAACAACGACCCAAUUUUAAUCACCAAUCUGGACAUGGUUAAAAGGAUUCCCAAAGUAUCACGCUCAGGCCAAGUUAGUCAUUGAGAAAUUUGUGGAACUAAUUGAAAUGGAUGUUCCAUUUGCGCGAGUGACCCGUGCCGAGUCUUACGUAACGUCCGAGUAGCCGGCGGCGGGGGGUUAAAAGAGGACAAUUGCCAUCUAUCGGCGAUUAUAGCGGGAUCCGGGGAAACUGUCAGCAUUUUAUAAUCCCCUCCUAUGUUCCCUUUAUCUGAGUCACAAGCUUCUCGAUGUGAGAUUACAAACAUCUGGCAGGUCAUCUACUCUCAAGCUGUUCUGGUAAACUAGGUAGCACAGGGAGGGACAAUUUCCUGAUGGAAUAUUCCACGCAAUACAAGUCCGAACGCAUGGCUCGCUAACCCACUGCAAUGCGAUCCACCACUUAAUGGCCCGCUAGCGUGCAGAUGUGAUUAAAAACAUAAUCUGAGAGGUUUGCCUGGGCCGCUACACCGUGCGUGUAUCACUUCUCAGUCACUCGCUCUACAAUUAUUCCCUAAUGUCUAGCGAUGGGCGCUGCUGCUUGACGGCCUUUUUGAACCCAUCCACUGCCACUGACGACUAUAGACGUCAAAGAUCUAUUUGAACUGGGCUGGCAGUGAAUGAGUUAAAACACACACCUGAUGUUUGUUAGUACGUCAUUGCAGGGUUGAUAUGAAUAUAUGAAGCACCACCAAAGUAUUUUCUUUCAUUUGAAUGAGAGACAAUAACGGUCAUUAGAUAUUCAGAUAUCAAGUGCAGCUUUGGGCAAUUAAUCACACGUGAGUGUGAAAUUGGACUAUUUUAAUUGAAUUUCCCAUCUAGAGCCAAUUAAAAGGCACAGCUGCUUCACUGAGCACAUAAGAAGCGUUUUAGAUUUUCACACGAGGAAUUACAAAUUUUUAAAUAAUCGCGCCUGGCAAGACACCGUGCAAAGUUUAGCGUUUGCUCGCGCUUACUGCAGUGCAGAUGCAAGCAGAACUUGCCGAGAAGGCAAAGGGAAGGAAGGGGUGGGAUUAAGCAGUGAAUCACCCAUCCUGGCAUCUAUUGUACACUCAUUUCUUCCCAAUAAUCUUGGCCAAAUCUAACAGCUGGCCGAGCACGGAAGGACGCCGCUUGUUUUGAUGUUAGCGCCGAGCCGAGGCGGUUUAUUGGUCAGGGAUUUAGUGUAUCUGAAUUCAUUGCGGACAGCCUCUGAUCCAGGAGGUUCAAGGGCUGGGGGGGAAACCAAGAUUGAUGGUUGAGGACACAUGCUUGUAUUAGACCCAUUUGACACCGAGCCGUUCUGCGCGGGCAGCAAACGGACCGUAAAGUAGACUGAUCAUGAAACAUGAACACGCUGCAGGUCACUGGGUUUCUGGCCGGCGAAUUCUCUAUCAAGAUCUUUCAGGACGACGUUCCAGGCCUCCAUUUUCCAUUGAAUCAAUUGUAAUGGCAACAACAUCAAGCAAUUCUCUUAACUCACUUCUCAAUUAUCGUUGUUCGUCAUUAACACCGUUCUUGUUUUUUUCGUAUUUUUGGCCCAAUGUUGAAAUCAUUUAUGUACCAAUGAAUGUAAUCUAGCAAAUCCUUCUUGUGUAUUUCACAUAAGAACCCACUUGUUAAAUUACAUUGAUAUGAAUGACAUGACGUCAAUAAAAUGUCAUCUCUGUGA